CAUGCUUGUGCAAUGGCGCAAGGCACGUAAAAAGUGAGUGUUCGUCUACCAUUAUGUAAAUUUAUUACUUUGACUCAAUAUUCUCAAAAAGGGGGACUUUUAACUUUUUAAAUGGUGAAACAAUAAUACUUAUGUGAGAACUGGUUAUACGAUUGCCUCACGAAUUACUUAUUCAAAAUCUAACGAAAUGCAAUUUAAUUUAUUUCGGUUGGCCAAUAUUUGUGCAAUUUGCUUUGAAAGUGUCAUCGGCAGGCUGAAACGCUCUGCCGGUAUUGUUUCGCGGCUGUGACCUCAUUUGUUUUCUGUUUUGCUGUGAUUGCGAGCCCCCGAGCUCAGGAGCUCUGCUGUCAUAAUGUACCACUCGUUAUCUCACGCCACGACCUCGUUUCUGCCACUUUACACAAACGGAAACCGAGUUAUGAACUUUUAAAAUUCAUUUUACUCCGACAGAGUAUUAAAAGUUUCAAGCCGUUCCGGGCUUAGUGGCUUGAUUGCGUUUUUAUUGGUGAAGGUGGUAGACUUCUUGACCAACCAACCUUCAAAAUAAAAGCAAAUCUUAUCAAAUCUUUGGUAAUAAAAUAGAGUCCUUCAUUUAAUCAGUAGAAGUGAUGAGGCAACGGUCUAGCAAGAUAUGUAACACUUCAAGAUAAACAAUUGUUAUCAAUCUAUUUAUUGCUCAGUAGCGCACCAAAUUUGUUGGAUAUUGUGACAAUAACAAUACGAGGAAAUCGGUGAUAGUCAAGUGAAAAUUUAAAGUUUUUACAACAUUUGAGUUUGUUAUUAAACAUAAAACCAAGCUUUAUUAUUUCGAUAGCUAAUAUUUAAUGAUUUUUGCUGUUUAAAAAACUAAGGUUUAAUUGAGUACUUAUUAAUUAUAUUUGUAUUUCAAAACGGCUUCUCAGAUUAUAUCAACCAACAGGAGUGAUAUCUUACUGUUAGAUUAAAAUUCUACAACUAUUAAGUAUGUUAAUCUGAUAUAAAAUUGAUAUGUCUUGUAAUACUACUUACUACUGAUGGGUCUAGCUGGACCGAUUCCAAAUAAAAAGUAUGUAGGUCGAAAUUUUAUCGCACGAGCGUCUCACAUGAUAUAACUGACGUUUACAUAAUAUACCGUAUGAUAAAUAUCUGCGGCAUAACUUGUGUUUAUGACAUAUUAAGAUUUCUAUUACAACAACAUUUCUUAUGGGUAGUCGGUAUAAGCUGCUCUACUGACUAAAUAUAAUGGCUCCUUAACUCAGUUUUGAACAACAAACAGAAUAAAAUUAUGAAGCUGGCUUUAUUGGUACUUAUAUGAUAAAACGUAGGUCAAAAAGUAAGUUUACCUAAUAAAUGUUUUUGUGUGAACAUUAAGUAUUAUUUUAAUAGUAUGUUUUCAAGGUUAUUUGAAUCCGCAGCGUAUGAGUAUAUAUAGUAUAACACAACCAUUGGUAAUGAACUGCUAGCAUAUAUACGUAGUUAAAACAUUGUAUAUUAUGUGAAGAUAACACGUUUCUUUUAUUAAUGAGUAAGGAAAAAUAAAUAAAUGUGUUCGCAUUUUUUCAUAUUACGACAACAGUAAUAUAAAUUAUAAGUUUUCCGAUGUAAUGAAGUAUUCAGAUAGCAGCCGUUCCAUUAUAAUGAUGAUUUACUAGACACACUUCAUUGUUUAUAUUGACGAAGUAUAUUUUGGGCCAAAUGCCAUAGAGUCUAGGCAAUACAUAUUCUUUCUUCAUGCCUGGAAUCCUAAAAAGUUACAUAAGUAUUUUAUGGAUAACUUUAAUUUAUGACUAAUAUCAUCGUUAUCUAUUUUAU